UCGUACAAAAUGUGUAGAGGCAUGCCGGGGUUGUCGCCGACCGAAAUGUUGUGCACGCCACAGUGUGUCCUCUCACAUAACAAUCCAUCUCACCCUUUGUGCACCACCGCGUGGGCACCCUCUGGGAUCGCACCGACCUCAGAGGGGACUCGCGUUUUCACACAAAACCCCCCCUUUGAAAAAGUAUAGAAUGUACUCAUUUACGCAAUCAAUA
rnacentral:misc_RNA from 1 species